rnacentral:rRNA from 1 species
GUAGGGCGCAAGCGUUAUCCGGAUUCACUGGGCGUAAAGAGUCGUGUAGGUGGUAUACCGCAUCGGACCUGAAAGCCCGAGGCUUAACCUCGGUGUUGGGUUCGAGAUGGGUAAACUAGAGGGAAGUAGAGGAAAGGGGAACUGAUGGUGAAGCAGUGAAAUGCGUUGAUAUCAUCAGGAACACCGAAGGCGAAGGCACCUUUCUGGGCUUCUCCUGACACUGAGACACGAAAGCUAGGGUAGCGAAGCAGAUUAGAGACCUGCGUAGUCCUAGCCCUAAACGCAUGUCUGCUAGUUGCCACACCUUAGGGUGAGGUGACGUAAGCUAACGCGUUAAGCAGACCGCCUGGGGAGUACGAUCGCAAGAUUA